AUUGAACGCUGGCGGCAGGCUUAACACAUGCAAGUCGAGCGGGGAAAGGUAGCUUGCUACUGGACCUAGCGGCGGACGGGUGAGUAAUGCUUAGGAAUCUGCCUAUUAGUGGGGGACAACAUCUCGAAAGGGAUGCUAAUACCGCAUACGUCCUACGGGAGAAAGCAGGGGACCUUCGGGCCUUGCGCUAAUAGAUGAGCCUAAGUCGGAUUAGCUAGUUGGUGGGGUAAAGGCCUACCAAGGCGACGAUCUGUAGCGGGUCUGAGAGGAUGGUCCGCCACACUGGGACUGAGACACGGCCCAGACUCCUACGGGAGGCAGCAGUGGGGAAUAUUGGACAAUGGGGGGAACCCUGAUCCAGCCAUGCCGCGUGUGUGAAGAAGGCCUUUUGGUUGUAAAGCACUUUAAGCGAGGAGGAGGCUACCGAGAUUAAUACUCUUGGAUAGUGGACGUUACUCGCAGAAUAAGCACCGGCUAACUCUGUGCCAGCCGCCGCAGUAAGAC
rnacentral:rRNA from 1 species